UAAAAAUACAACCCUUCAAUUUUAUCUCUCAGUCGCCGAUUCUCUCGAACCAUAAUCUUUUUCCAACAUUUUGUAGUCGCCGUCUCUCACUCCCAGGGCGACCUGCCGACGCCAUCUAAUCGGUAAUUUCUCCUUUGCAAAUUAUCUUGAUUUCAGUUUAUUUGCAAAAGCCCUAAUAGUUCUUAAUUUGUUUGCUACAUUGAUUCACCCACAUAGCAUUGUUUAUUCGAUGACAGACAUUGUUCAAACUUAUUGUAGAUUGCGAUUAUGUAAAUUUAAUAUAAUUAAGACUUUAUAAUUUACUUUUUGAUUAUAUUUUUAAUUCUUUUUUCUCCUCGGACCAUUUAUUCAUUCUUGUAUGUAAUUUUAUAAUUAUAUUUUUGUUGUAUGGUAGAAAUGGGGAAUGUCAUGAAAAUUACGAACAAAGAGUUUUAUAUGAUAUUAUGUGUGUAAAUCAUUGAAUAUAUCCAUGCUACAAGAUUCACAGACAAUGAGUUCUUGAAAGUACUGCUUUGAAAUAUGGAAGACAUGGAAUAAUAUCUGGUUUUUUUCCUUCUCUGUAUUAUCCUGCAAAUAUAUGAACAUAACUAUUUUGUAUUCUUUUUUUUUUUUUUUUCUGAUUGCAGGCGAAGCUUUAUUAUCUGAUAUUGAGGAAUUAGAUAGCAAGAAGAUGUGGUUACGGUGAUGGCUAAUAACGAACUCGCGUAUGUUGAGGUCAAGGAUGAGAAGAUACAAUUCUUGUUGUAGAUAUGAAUUCUUCCUUGAAUUGCACACCUUUUUUUGUUUUUCUUUUUGUUAAGACAUUGUAUACAUCUAUUUUUCUAGUCAAUAUAGUAUGAAUACUGAAUAAUGGAAGAUAGUUCUUGUAUUGUUUCAUGAAUAUGGUUCAGUUUU